AAAACCGGUUGUGUUUUGUUUUGUCAUUGUUUUGUUUUGUUUCGGCUCGGGAAUGUUUCGAUAUCGUUGAUCGAGAGUUUUUACGUAUAUACGGUCUUAUAAGCGGAACGUUGCUAUACAUAUCAUGGUAUCAACGACGGCCAGAAGAAAUUACCGGUGCCAAACGAUCUAAUGAUCUCCUGCUCCGGUUGCGCAUACACUUCCGCAAUAACAACUCCCGGAACAACAGCUCGAGGAUGCAACUACUCAAAAACACCGUGCUGCGUUCCAGCUUAUCAAUGUGUCGUCGGAUUUUAACAUCUACCGCGGCGAUAAGGAGAGACCAUUAUGCACAAAAUGCCAAUCGAAGAAAGUAUCAUCUGGGCGUUUCUGUAUUCCAUGUAUUCCCGAAGAACAUUGUCUGUUUCCGGCCCACCAGACUGCUCGAUCAGGAUUACGAGAUCCGAUGAAUUUCCACUACAAGAGUAUACCGAGCGAAUGAUGAUAAACUCUGUCACUGACCGCUUGUUUGGGAUUUCAUCUGUCGCAUUGACAUGCUUGGAAAACGACAACCUGAUCAACAUGCGAUCUCACUUUCUACCGAUAAUUCAAGCUUCGGAAACAUGCAGAUUUUUGCUGGAUCAGCACUUCAAUUUUAAUGGAUCUGGUAACUAAAUCAUGUUGGGAUAUAGUGGUUUUAAGUGGAAUCGGAUAACAAUUGUGAACCAAUUCCUUCGGGAGUACCAAACUCAAUAUUAUCAUCGUAAAGUUGCCAAUCGAUCAGCGAAACCGCCUGGCACCCGUUACAGUACAUGAGAAUCAUUGUUACCUAAGACAAUUCUAACCAGGACGACCAUUUGACUGGCAAAGGAAUGAGCAUCAUCACCACCAUCAAGAAGAAGAUAUUGAAAAAUAAUAUUCUGCCUGAAAUAUGAGCGAUUUGUUACCGGAAGUAGCUUUUAGAUUAGUUUAGAAGUAAUAACUAAAGAGUAUCUAAUAUUAAAAUGGAAAUUUAGGGUCUCGGGGGGAUGCAACUUGCAUCAUGCAAGUGUUAAAGUAAUUAAGUUAUAGUUAAGUACACCAAAUAACUCAUGAUACCUCAAUAAUUUUUAAAAAUUACAAUGUUUAAGCGUGUUUCAUAAAAAUCAUUAUUUGAGCACUUGCACGUCUCUGAUCCUAAGCGCAGCAAUUAAGAUACACUUAUUAUGGUGGAACUUGGAUAUUGUAGUUUAGAUAGAUAUAUUUAUUCUUCUUUAUAAAUACACACACAUGGCUGGCUAAAGGUUUCAUCAAAUGUAUUAGAGUUUAUAAUAAAUGUCCAAUAU